AACGAACGCUGGCGGCAUGCCUAACACAUGCAAGUCGAACGAGACCUUCGGGUCUAGUGGCGCACGGGUGCGUAACGCGUGGGAACCUGCCCGUAGGUUAGGAAUAACUCCCCGAAAGGGGUGCUAAUACCGGAGAAUGUAUUCGGAGCAAAGAUUUAUCGCCUUUGGAUGGGCGCGCGUUGGAUUAGCUAGUUGGUAGGGUAAAAGCCUACCAAGGCGACGAUCCAUAGCUGGUCUGAGAGGAUGAUCAACCACACUGGGGCUGAGACACGGCCCAGACUCCUACGGGACGGAGCAGUGGGGAAUAUUGUACACUGGGCGCAAGUCCAAUCCCGCAAUGCCGCGUGUGUGAUGCAUGCCUUAGGGUUGUAAAGCUCUUUUACACGGGAUGAUAAUGACAGUACCGGGUGAAUAAGCUCCGGCUAACUACGUG
rnacentral:rRNA from 1 species